rnacentral:ncRNA from 2 species
ACAUUUAAAGGUUUUGUUCCGAAUAUAUGCUGACAAUAGGGGUCAGCGUUUCUACCAGGCACCGUAAAGGCCUGACUACUUGGAGAGAAAAUGAUCGU